rnacentral:rRNA from 1 species
GACGAACGCUGGCGGUGUGCUUAACACAUGCAAGUCGAACGGCAACGCCCUGCGUUUGUGGGCUUCUCGAGUGGCAAACGCGUGCGUAACACGAGUGUAACGUGCUCUAGUCUUUGGGGUAACUUCACGAAACUGGGGCUAAUCCCGUAUAGGAUCCCCUCCUGCAUUGUGGGCGUUGGAACUUCUCUGCGGUUGGGGAUGGAUUCGCGGGUUAUCGGCUUGCUGGUUGGGUAGUGGCAUACCCACGCUUUGACGGGUCGCCGGCUUGAGAGGGAGACCGGCCACAAGGGGACUGAGAGACGGAGCAGACGCGAAUGGGAGGCAACAGUGGGGAAUAUUGCACAAUGGGCGGAAGUGUGAUGCGGAGGCGCCGCGGUCGGGAUGACGGCCUUUUGGUAGUGAACCGCAUUCGCCUGUGACGAAGCGUGAGUGACGGUACUGAGUAAAUAAGCACCGGCUAACUACGUG